UGGGGUCCUAGCUCAGCGGGAGAGCACUACGCUGAAGACGUAGGUGUCCCGGGUUCGACUCCCGGGGACCCCAUC
rnacentral:tRNA from 1 species